UGAAAGCCGCAGAUAAAAAAGAAAUCCCGUCUUGUUUUUUAGAGCAAGACGGGAUUUUUAUUUGAAUAACUGAUUACUAA
rnacentral:misc_RNA from 1 species